rnacentral:rRNA from 1 species
UACAGAGACUGCAAGCAUUAUUCGGAUUCAUUGGGCGUAAAGGGUGCGUAGGCGGCGCGGUAAGUCGGGUGUGAAAUCUUGGAGCUUAACUCCGAAACUGCAUUCGAUACUGCCGUGCUUGAGGACUGGAGAGGAGACUGGAAUUUACGGUGUAGCGGUGAAAUGCGUAGAUAUCGUAAGGAAGACCAGUGGCGAAGGCGGGUCUCUGGACAGCUCCUGACGCUGAGGCGCGAAGGCUAGGGGAGCAAACGGG